rfam:Schistosoma mattheei strain Denwood, Zambia genome assembly, scaffold: SMTD_scaffold0019812
AUCCAGCUGGCGAGUCCCAAACAGGACGAAACGCGCGUCCUGGAU